UGCAUUUUCAGGAAGAGAUACAAAUCUAAUGGGGUUGCCCUUGGCUUUUUAUUACGGGAUGUAUGCAUAUGCUGGCUGGUUUUACCUCAACUUUAUUACUGAAGAAGUAGACAACCCUGAAAAAUUGUUGGCAUUUCUCGGGAGUUCAAGAUAAUGUGUAAUGCUAUGAAAUCACAAACAAUAAGAUGUGCCUUUGCUAUUCCUGGGAACUUUGGAUAAUGAUUUAUUUUCUCUGUCUUAACUUGAUCAGACAAAUAUCCGUUUUUAUUUGACAUUGUCAUUUAGACCACUGAGAUUUUUAUGUCAUUUGCUCAUCUGUUGUUAAACUAAAUGAUGUAUUGUACAACAUUACUUAAUGAGGUCACAUUUUCUAGUUAUCUAACCUAAUUAAAAUCUAUAAAUAUAGAGAAAUAAAUCCAUACAAAGG
rnacentral:lncRNA from 1 species